rnacentral:rRNA from 1 species
GAUGAACGCUGGCGGCGUGCCUAAUACAUGCAAGUCGAGCGAACGGACGAGAAGCUUGCUUUUCUGAUGUUAGCGGCGGACGGGUGAGUAACACGUGGAUAACCUACCUAUAAGACUGGGAUAACUUCGGGAAACCGGAGCUAAUACCGGAUAAUAUUUUGAACCGCAUGGUUCAAAAGUGAAAGACGGUCUUGCUGUCACUUAUAGAUGGAUCCGCGCUGCAUUAGCUAGUUGGUAAGGUAACGGCUUACCAAGGCAACGAUGCAUAGCCGACCUGAGAGGGGGAUCCGCCACACUGGAACUGAGACACGGUCCAGACUCCUACGGGAGGCAGCAGUAGGGAAUCUUCCGCAAUGGGCGAAAGCCUGACGGAGCAACGCCGCGUGAGUGAUGAAGGUCUUCGGAUCGUAAAACUCUGUUAUUAGGGAAGAACAUAUGUGUAAGUAACUGUGCACAUCUUGACGGUACCUAAUCAGAAAGCCACGGCUAACUACGUG